rfam:Idiomarina baltica OS145 scf_1099451322316 genomic scaffold, whole genome shotgun sequence.
GGGGCUGAUCUGGAUUCGACGGGAUACACGAAACCCAAGGUGCAUGCCGAGGUGAGGCUGGCCUCGUAAAAAGCCUCAACGUUAUAGUUGCAAACGACGACAACUACGCUCUAGCGGCUUAAUAACCCGCUAAGCCCGUCCCCCAGCGCUUUGUCUACGAGACUGGAUCAGGAUGGCUCGACCUAAGGUAGACUCGCGUGGAUGCUUUGUCCGGAGCUGAAGCGUUAAACUUAAUCGGACUCGCCAGUAGUUGAAGCCUGUCAGUCGGCGUCAUGCUGGUUAAUAAAAAGACUGAAUAAGCAUGUAGGACCGAGGAUGUAGGUAUUGCGGACGCGGGUUCAACUCCCGCCAGCUCCACCA